rnacentral:rRNA from 1 species
AGAGUUUGAUCCUGGCUCAGGACGAACGCUGGCGNNGNUAACACAUGCAAGUCGAGCGGAAAGGCCCUUCGGGGUACUCGAGCGGCGAACGGGUGAGUAACACGUGAGUAACCUGCCCUUGGCUCUGGGAUAAGCCCGGGAAACUGGGUCUAAUACCGGAUACGACCACUGGAUGCAUGUCUGGUGGUGGAAAGUUUUUCGGCUGGGGAUGGACUCGCGGUCUAUCAGCUUGUUGGUGGGGUGAUGGCCUACCAAGGCGACGACGGAUAGCCGGCCUGAGAGGGUGACCGGCCACACUGGGACUGAGACACGGCCCAGACUCCUACGGGAGGCAGCAGUGGGGAAUAUUGCGCAAUGGGCGAAAGCCUGACGCAGCGACGCCGCGUGGGGGAUGAAGGCCUUCGGGUUGUAAACCUCUUUCACCACCGACGAAGCUAACGUGACGGUAGGUGGGGAAGAAGCGCCGGCUAACUACGUGCCAGCAGCCGCGGUAAUACGUAGGGCGCAAGCGUUGUCCGGAAUUAUUGGGCGUAAAGAGCUCGUAGGCGGUCUGUCGCGUCUGCCGUGAAAACCCGAGGCUUAACCUCGGGCCGGCGGUGGAUACGGGCAGACUAGAGGUAGGUAGGGGAGAAUGGAAUUCCCGGUGUAGCGGUGAAAUGCGCAGAUNNUCGGGNNGAACACCGGUGGCGAAGGCGGUUCUCUGGGCCUUACCUGACGCUGAGAGCGAAANNGUGGGGAGCGAACAGGAUUAGAUACCCCAGUAGUCC